rnacentral:lncRNA from 1 species
UAUUGUUCUGGAGUCGUCCCGUUUGAUGUCCGGGUCCUGUUCGUAUGUGGAUUUGGCCAAUGCUGUGGUCCACUUAGCAUUCUUGGUGUCUUGUUUGUGCUCCCUUGUCCUAUCUUUUGGAGACCGAGCGGUUGCGCCUAUGUGGACUUCAUCCCUGUUCUCUGUAUUGUUUCUGUAUGGAAUUUCGUGUGUUCCUGCUCCGGAUUGGUGGCCCUUGGGGUUCUUGUCGUUUCUCAGGGAGUGGUGCGCUGUUGGAGGUCGUUUAUAAGUAUGUUUUUUUGGGUCUCGUCUUAUUAUAUUC